UGCAUCUGCGGGGAAUCGAACAGGGGCACGCGCGUGGCAGGCGAGCAUUCUACCACUGAACCAAAAGC
rnacentral:tRNA from 1 species